rnacentral:rRNA from 1 species
UACGGAGGAUGCGAGCGUUAUCCGGAAUUAUUGGGUUUAAAGGGUGCGUAGGCGGCCAUUUAAGUCAGCGGUGAAAUUUUGCAGCUUAACUGUAACAGUGCCGUUGAUACUGUUUGGCUAGGAUUUGGUUGUAGUGUGCGGAAUGUGUGGUGUAGCGGUGAAAUGCUUAGAUAUCACACAGAACACCGAUUGCGAAGGCAGCACACUAAGUCAUUAUUGACGCUGAGGCACGAAAGUGUGGGGAUCAAACAGGAUUA